AAGGGGGUUUGAUCAUGGGGCUCAGGAUGAACGCUAGCGGCAGGCUUAAUACAUGCAAGUCGAGGGGCAGCAUAGCACUUCGGUGUUGAUGGCGACCGGCGAACGGGUGCGUAACGCGUAUGCAAUCUACCUUGUACAGGGGAAUAGCUUCUGGAAACGGGAAUUAAUACUCCAUAUUAUCUAAUUAAUGCAUAUUAUAUAGAUGAAAGCUCCGGCGGUACAAGAUGAGCAUGCGUCCCAUUAGCUUGUUGGUAAGGUAACGGCUUACCAAGGCUACGAUGGGUAGGGGGUCUGAGAGGAUGAUUCUCCACACUGGCACUGAGACACGGGCCAGACUCUUACGGGAGGCAGCAGUAGGGAAUAUUGGUCAAUGGGCGCAAGCCUGAACCAGCCAUGCCGCGUGCAGGAUUGAAGGUCCUUAGGAUUGUAAACUGCUUUUUUAUGAGAGCAAAAACUUCCUGCGGGGAGGAAUGAGAGUAUCAUAAGAAUAAGCACCGGCUAACUCCGUGCCAGCAGCCGCGGUAAUACGGAGGGUGCAAGUGUUAUCCGGAUUUAUUGGGUUUAAAGGGUACGUAGGCGGCAAAGUCAGUCAGUGGUGAAAGCCAGCAGCUUAACUGUUGAAUUGCCAUUGAUACUUCUUUGCUUGAGUAUAGUCGAGGUAGGCGGAAUUCCACAUGUAGCGGUGAAAUGCAUAGAUAUGUGGAGGAACGCCGAUAACGAAGGUAGCUUACUAGGCUAUUACUGACGCUGAGGUACGAAAGCGUGGGGAGCGAACGGGAUUGAGACCCCGG
rnacentral:rRNA from 1 species